rnacentral:lncRNA from 1 species
AUUACUUAAAGACCAAGGCACCAUAUUUGAGGAUUUGUAGGCAUUCACUACAAGCAUUGAAUCUGACUCAAUCCACAUAUUUCUCCAUCCUCUAGCAUCUGCAAUUUCAAUUGCAGUCAUAAAACCACAAAGCUCUGCACUGAAAGCAGUGGCCAUGUCUGUUUUAGAAGCAAACGCGCACAAGAACUCUGCAUUGCUAUUUCUAAAAAUUCCUCCACACGCAGAUGCCGUAGGUGUUGAAGCACCAUCAGUAUUGCAUUUAAUCCAUUGAGGGGGAGGUGNNNN